UCUAUUUUUUUUUUAUUAUCAGAUUAGCAAACUGAGGUUCAGAAAGAUAAAAUAAGGUUACCUUAUGGGCAAGCGGUUUAGCAUUUAAGCUGAGAACCUAGUGGUCUUUAAGAUAAGUCCCUGAUUUUACCAACCUGCGAGUCUACCUUCCUUAAGUGUGGGAGGAAUUUCUGUAGUUUUGACAAAGAGAUAUAUAAAGGAAGAACAAGAAAAUGGCAGAGUAAGAAAGAAGAUUACAAGGUAUACACCAUUUGCAUUUAUCUUACUUUUUCAUUUUUAAGGACAAUGAAGUUAAACUAAGGAGUAGAGCUGUAUAGACAGACAAUGUUUUGUGAUGGCAAUAGAAAGCAGACAUCACACAACUUUAUUUGUAACCCAUUUGUAAGAAUAAAGGAGAUCAUAAACUGUUUGAAAUAUCAAAACAUUUAAUGAAAAAUAUUUCAUUAAAUGAAACAUUUAAAAAGAGCAAAAUAAAGUAAAAAUAGAAUCAUAAGACUUUCACUAUUAAGAAUAUUAGGUUUUUUAACUAGUGACUUAGAAAAUUUAAAAGUGCAGGAACAUUUGAAUUUUAUUGAUAUAUCCACCAUGGAGCAUUUCUUGAUAGGAUUCACAUGGGAUGAACUGUUCAAUGCGGAAAAAAAAAAUCAAAUGAGAGAUUAAUGAUACCUUCUUAGCGAGCCAUGAAUGUCCAAUGUCUAUUGUGUCUUAAUGGAAAACAACAACAACAACACAGAUUUACCCGUCUCUACAAAUGCAAUGAGAUAUUACUAUGCAGGUUGGGCUUAAACUCAGACUCCAGCUCAAAUUCAGAUGGUGCUUCUAUGUUACUAACCUUGAGCAGGUUAGUUUCUUUCUAUGAAUCUCAAUUUUCUUGACUUUUAAAACAGUAAUUAACCAGGAUAAAAUUUUAAGAGUCCAGCACAGGGCCUGUUAUAAAUUAAACUUCAGUACAAUGAGUCUACUUGUGCAUUCAUGUGUGACACCAUGUAAUGAGCUCUUGAGAGCAUAGUUCCUUCCCCAAGUAAAACGAAAUGUAGAGGAAGAGGCAUACGGUAACUCAGUCAUUACAUGGAGGGGGAAGCAUUCUAUAAAGGGAUAAGUGAAUUAUGCUAUCAGAACACUCAGGAGUGCCCCUGAGCUCCGUCUGAGGUGUCAGUAAGAGUUCUAGGCAGAGGCACUGUGCAAAUGGAUAAAGGAUUAAUACAUAUUAUUUAGUCAGAAGUCAGGAAAGCAUACCAGAUAAUAUUUCCAAUGUCAAGACACACUGUGGUAGUUCAGUGGAGGCAGUUUAUAGAUAGACAUGUUGAAGCUGAGAGAUGUGGAGGCCAGAAGUAAAACAAAAGUCAGAUUUGGAAGUUUAGUUCCCUUCCAUCAACAAGACCAAGCAAAUUUAAUGCUAACCAAAAUAGAAUCAAACUUAUCAUCCUUUGUCUUCAGAAAGAGGUAAGAAAGAAUAGGCAUCAAAAUAGUUAAAGGUGUAUAGGAUUAAGAGAUACAAACUACUGUUUAUGAAAUAAAUAUAUAAGCAACAAGGAUAUAUUGUAUAGUACAGGGUAAACUAGUCAUUAUUUUGUAUUAGUUUUAAAUGGAGGAUAAUCUAUAAAAAUAUUGAAUCACUAUGUUGUACACCUGGAACUAAUAUAACAUUAUAAAUCAACUAUACUUAAAUAAAAAGUAAACCAUUUCAUCUAUUCAACAAACUUAUAUUGAGUGCUUAUUAUAUAAAAUGACCUGAUAAGUGCUGAGAAUGCAAAAGAAAGAACGAACGAACUAGACAGGUGGCUGCUUUUGCAUUGAAAUAUAUCAUGAAAGUCCUGCUGAUACACACAUUAACUCUUGGACAGUGCUAAGGGUAAGAGUUCCAGGGAAGAGGCCAAGGUAGACAGUGAGUGGGGAUGGACAUUUAUAAGGCUAUUUCCAACUGGAAUGGAUGGUUUUCAAUAUUUAACAGAAAGCAUGGUCACCUCCUGGGCACUCACUGAAAAUGAGGCCUGGACAUAGGUUAAAUUUCUGGUAAAUCACAUCAAGACUUAAUUGAUUUUUGCUCUGAAUUUCUUUGGGGUAAUUUAAUUUCCUCACUCCCAGUGUGAGUUUAUGUAUAUGUGAUAUGUGCAUAGAUGUGUUUGUGUGUAUAUGUCUUCCACAGAACUUAUUUUCAACUAUCCACAAGUGGGUCAUGUGUUCACACAAUAUAUAUUAUAUGAUGGAAUUAAAUGUUCAACAGUUCAGUGAUUCUGGUACUGUAUUCUGGCAUCAUAUCUGCUACCACGUUAUUAAUCUAAAAUAUAUCACCCUUCAGAGAUAAUAACAUACUGUGAUUUUGACAUAUUCUAAGCUCUUUCACUCUUUUAAAUUCACAUAACUGCAUGGAGAGGUGGACAGUGUAGAAGUUAAUAAUUUAUAAAUUACUUUCAAGUGAGUUUCUUUUUGCUAUAUUGCCAUUAUGAAAAAAUGAACAGGUAUUAUCAUUACUUCAACUUUAAAUAGGAAAAAAUUGAGAAGUAGAGAGAUAUAAUAUCUUAUUGAAACUUAAGUUAAAUUCAAUAUUUCUGUAUUGAAAAAUGGAUAUUAACUUAUUUGAACAUUUAAUUUUAGAAUUAAAAUGCUUUCAUUUGAAUUAAAAAUGGUUAAGAACUUUCAUUCCAAUUUUUAUGGUAAAGGUUUGGAAAUUACUAUCUCCUGGUGCGGGUAAAACAUACAAGCAACAGAAUAAAAUUCUCAUCCUUUCAAAAGCUUCUUUUUAGUUGACAAUUUUCUAUGGAAUUACUGAUAAUUAUAUUUUAGCUCUGGACUCUAUAACUAAAAUGUGUCUAUUUAAUUUUGAAACUAGAAUUCACAAAGUACCUCUGGCAUUAGAGAAAAAAAAAAGUCUAGUUUUCUAAAUGAGAAACAGAGAAAAGAUACACUUAUUUUUAGCAAAUAUAGGUCCAAAAUACUAGUACUAUUUCUAAGAAUGACUAAUGAUUUUGCAAAUACCUAACUACAAUCGUCUUUUUUUUUUUUUUUUUUGCUUUUUUGGGCUGCUACAGCUGCCAGUCUACACCACAGCCACAGCAACACUGGAUCCUUAACCCACUGAGUGAGGCCAGGGAUUGAACCCAUGUCCUCAUGGAUACUAGUCAGGAUUGUCACCACUGAGCCAUAAUUAUUACAUAGAAAUUCCAACAUUUUACACAUUCUGAUUAAGUUUCAGCAAGUGCAAAUGACUUUUAUUUUUUAAGGAAAAUAUACAAGUGCCUUUCAUGUGUAAGGCACUGGACCAACUGCCCUGAGGGUAAAUAAAACCUGCUUUUGUUCUUCAAGGAGAUGUGAAGAGAUGUUGCACAUGCAUCAAAAAUAAACUUUAUCCAAAAAUGCUAAGUGAUUACAAUUACCAGAAGAAACAAAUUCUAUGAAAGGUAAGGAUAAGAAUGUAAUGGCACCUUUAUCUGAAGCACGUCAAGUUUCAUGGAGAAAUAUUUUGUAAAAUGAAAUGUUGCAUAAAAUAUCUAAGGUUAUUCAGUAAACUGUAGUAUAAAAUUACAAGUACUUCUAUUUCCAAAAUGAUGAAAUAGAUGGACUUUUUCUCUAUUUUUCCAACUUAAAGUUUCUGGUAGUUAUAUAUAAAACAAACACACAAAGACUUUGAAAGAUGGUUAGCAAAGUAGAUGGGUUAGUAAACCUGGAACUCAAGGAAGUAAAUGCUGGUGAAGACUUUGGUUUUCUUUUUAUCUUAUGUAUCUCAGGCUUGGAAUUGUAAAAACCACAACUCGGAAACUUUGGAAGAACAAAGGAAAUAAGAGUUUCAACAAAAACUUAAUGUCUCUAGCCAAAGGAUGUGAAAAGGGACAGCUUGACAAGACGAAAAAAAAUAUAUAUAUAUAAAAUUAUCUCUCAACUGCAGUCGAGCACAGCAGAAAAACAAAAUGAAAAGAAAAAACAACAAUGGUCACCCCUUAACUCUCGCCAGUAAGACUUGUGAGUAGUCCAACCUCCAUCCUUGCCAGACUAUACUGAAGUAGUCCAAACCCUGCAACAUGAUGGUAUCAUAGAAGGAUGCUUAUCCCUAGUGGGUCAUGGCAACCUCUCCUCAACAUGUCAAUGGAGACUGUGGGGAAGCUGGACUUAAACCCCGCCAAACAGUAAUGAAGUGCUUUUCUCACUCCCACCUGUGGUGCUGUCGCAUGUGGCCUAGUUGGGAUUCAAGAGUUUCACUGCUGUCCAGAGGUAAAAAUGCCAUACACACCCCACCUCUCAAGUGAUGUCAGUGCAGGCCAUAUAGAUAGUGAAGACUCCCACACGUGUCCAGCAGUAAUGAGACAGUGAAGACUCCCAAACCUGUCCAGCAGUAAUGAGAAAUGCCCUUCUUCCCUAGGUUGUCAAAGGAGGAUUAGUGAGGAACUAGUACUUCCACUACGUGACAGUAACAACGCAUUGUCCUAUUAUGUUACCAGAGUGGUAUCAAAGGAAGCCAGCUAAAAGAGAUGGUUUAAAUAAGACUCAGAGUCUCAUAAUAUAAUACACAAAUUGUCUAGGUUUUUAAAAAAUCACUUAUCAUAGCAAGAAUCAUGAAAAUUUCAACUUAAAUGAAAAAGACAAUAAAAAUCAACAUUGAGAUAACAGAGAAGGUAAAAGUAUCUGACAAUGAUUUUCAAGAAGCCAUCAUUAAAUGCUUCAUUGGGUAAUUAUAAACAUACUUGAAGCAAAUGAAAACAUAGGAAGUCUCAGCAAAGACAUCAAAAAUAAAAAGAUAUUAUACAGGAAAACUAAAUAGAGUUUCAUAACUAAAAAUUACAGCAUCCAAAAUAAAAAUCACAGUGGAUGAGCUCAGAUGGAGAAUAAAGAGAACAGAGGAAACAAAUCAUCAAACAUGAAGAUAGGAUGAUAGUAAUUGCCCUAUGUAAAUAAAAGAGAAAAUAGACUGAAAAAAUAUCAUCAGAGCUUUAGGAACCUUUUAAACCCUGA